UCCAAAGUCCUGAGUCCCAAGGCUCAGGCUCUGAGCCUGUUCGCCCUGGGACUGCCCUCUGAAAACAGGCUGAGGGGGCAUCUUGAGAAAAUUUUCAAAAGUUCUUCUGAAGUAAAACAAAACCAGCUAUCCAAAAAAGGUGCUCGUGCUCGGCAGAUGUGAGAUGAGCCACGGAAAGCAGACUGCGCCGGGGACCCCGUGACCAGCCUCUGUGCACAGGCAUAAAGGCACUCACUAGCUGUCAGAUGAACCAAAAUGAGAUGUCAGUCUUCUCUGUGUUCUACUUUCUGGCCUGUACAUCAUCUCUUUAGGUCUCAAGUUUUUAAUCUGUGAAAACACAUCCAAUUGAUCCUCAUAGUAUAACUUCAAGACAUACAUGAGUUAACACACCUGCAGACCACACAGUAGGUCCGAGGACCUUGGAAAGUGCUGAUGAACUCAAGAGAGGGAGAGCAAGAGAAACAGCAGCUCCCUGGGCAAGAGGACGCUAAGCAUUCUACAACCCCAAUUACUCCAAGGACCUUAACAAACAGCAGCAAUGAUAAAUAACAUAGAUGAGAGACACAGUAAAUGUUAAAUUACCUGUGACAAUCAAGUCAGAAAAGUCAAGGAACCACCCAAAUAUCCACUGACGUGAAAUGUGCAGAACGGGCUCACAACAUAAAGAUACAACACAGCUGCCCAGGCCUGGGGUACGAAGGGGAACGAGCAGGUGCGAGUCAACAGGUAUGAAGCUUCUUUGGGGGGGGGUGAUAAAAAUCUGAAAUUGACUCUGGUGAUGCAUGUACAACUUUGUGAAUGUACUAAAAGCCACUCAACUGUAAACUUUACAUGGGUGAAUUAUAUGGUAUGUGAAUUGUAUUUCAA